UACGUAGGACCCAAGCAUUAUCCGGAAUUACUGGGCGUAAAGAGUUGCGUAGGUGGCACUGUAAGCAAGGCAUGAAAUCGUGUGGCUCAACCAUACGGCUAUGUUUUGAACUGCAGAGCUAGAGAAUGAGAGGGGUAGAUGGAAUUACUAGUGUAGGAGUGAAAUCCGUAGAUAUUAGUAGGAACACCGAUAGCGUAGGCAGUCUACUGGCUCAUUUCUGACACUCAGGCACGAAAGCGUGGGGAGCAAACGGG
rnacentral:rRNA from 1 species